rnacentral:lncRNA from 1 species
AUCAAAUGAAAAACAAGUGAAACUGCGAGCUACUGCUCACUGAUGAUACCCCCGCCGCAAGUGGAUAAUAUUAAUAGUGUAAAAAUAUGCAAGUGUUCGGUAAACAGGAAGUUGUCGAGUGAUGAAUCUGAAAACGCAUCACACGGUAUAGCUGACUUAUAAAAAUCCUGAAACCAAAUUUCAGAAAUCCUUGUAUUGUAGUUCCUGAGAAAAAUGUGACGAAAUUUUUUAACUUGGUUAUCAUGUGUAAAAUCAUACAAGUGUUCGGUAAACAGGAAGUUGUCGAGUGAUGAAUCUGAAAACGCAUCACGAGGUAUAGCUGACUUAUAUAAAUCCUGAAACCAAAUUUCAGAAAUCCUUGUAUUGUAGUUCCUGAGAAAAAUGUGACGAAAAUUUUCAACUUGGUUAUCAUGUGUAAAAUCAUACAAGUGUUCGGUAAACAGAAAGUUGUCGAGUGAUG